rnacentral:rRNA from 1 species
UGGGGAAUAUUGGACAAUGGGGGCAACCCUGAUCCAGCCAUGCCGCGUGUGUGAAGAAGGCCUUUUGGUUGUAAAGCACUUUAAGCAGUGAAGAAGACUCCAUGGUUAAUACCCAUGGACGAUGACAUUAGCUGCAGAAUAAGCACCGGCUAACUCUGUGCCAGCAGCCGCGGUAAUACAGAGGGUGCAAGCGUUAAUCGGAAUUACUGGGCGUAAAGCGAGCGUAGGUGGCUUGAUAAGUCAGAUGUGAAAGCCCCGGGCUUAACCUGGGAACGGCAUCUGAUACUGUUAGGCUAGAGUAGGUGAGAGGAAGGUAGAAUUCCAGGUGUAGCGGUGAAAUGCGUAGAGAUCUGGAGGAAUACCGAUGGCGAAGGCAGCCUUCUGGUCUGUAACUGACGCUGAUGUGCGAAAGCGUGGGGAUCAAACA